rnacentral:rRNA from 1 species
UGCCAGCCGCCGCGGUAAUACGAACCGUCCAAACGUUAUUCGGAAUUAUUGGGCUUAAAGGGUACGUAGGCGGCCAUGUAGGUGGGGUGUGAAAUCCCCCGGCUCAACCGGGGAACUGCGCCCCAAACCACAUGGCUUGAGGGAGACAGAGGUAAGCGGAACUGAUGGUGGAGCGGUGAAAUGCGUUGAUAUCAUCAGGAACACCAGUGGCGAAAGCGGCUUACUGGGUCUCUUCUGACGCUGAGGUACGAAAGCUAGGGGAGCGAACGGGAUUAGAUA